rnacentral:lncRNA from 1 species
AUUGACUGCUGGUGUGAUGCCACUCUAGGGAAAAAUCUUUCAGUAUUUCCACGACACAUUCUCUUUACAAUAAUUCAUAAACUGGUAAAAUUCAUUCUAAGAAAACUUGGCAAAUAAAACUUUGGACUGGAAUUGGCAUUUCUUUCUCUGCUUUUCGUUCCCACCAUUUCUUUCUUUUAUACUACAGUAUUCAUAUUUUAAAAUGUUUUAAAUUAUUUCAGAACAUUAAGAUAGCAGUUACAUUUUUUAAUAGUUAUUUUAAAAUGACUCUUUAAAAUAAAGUUUUAGAGAAACUAUAUUAUGGAUAGGGCUGAUUUACAUUUUCAA